UACCUUUGCGAUGCUUGAGGUUUCCGUUAGUAGCCUGUGCUUUUUUCGGAAUUAAUAGGGAAUACGGUGUAAAUCCGUAACUGUCCCGCAGCUGUAAGUUCUCUUAACUGUUUUCUAUUCUUAGCCACUAUCCAUAUUUGGGAUGGGAAGGCAGAAAACAGGAGAAUAAGUCAGAAGACCUGCCUUAAGUAGUUAAAAAUU
rnacentral:ncRNA from 2 species